UCGGAUAAAGUGACCCAGUUACCAGGGAGCGUGACGACAACUGUGGGUGCAAAUGUGUCCUUCCAUUGCUUGAGUACUUUAUUUGAAGUUGGCCAAGCUGUCAAGGUAACCUGGUGGAAGCAAGGUGAUCCUCAUUAUCUACACGCGGAACAAGGUGACCGAAAAGUAACUGGCCACAGGACAGAGGAAUGUACUAUUGCACAUUCGUCCGUCAAGGCAAAUUGAUUGGAAACGGAACAGGGUCCAAUUUAACAGUGUGGGCUCCCUUUUACCCGAGGGAUACCAGUUUUACUUGGUACAAAGAUGGCAGUAAAACUACAACAGGAAUCAGUACAGUCAUUCGAACAACAGACGACAGAGUAUAUGAAGCAUCCAGCGGGUUGGAAGAAACACAGGCAAUCCGAGCCGGAACUGUUUAUACCUGCAUGGUAUCCCACAGCCCCCUCCAAAGUUCAGCCGCGGUCAGUCACAUCGUAACGAAUGGCAGCCCGGAUAAGAAUUCUACUGGAACCAUAUCAUUAAUAACGCACAUCAAAUCUGUGAUACAAUAGAAUGAUACCGCACGGACCCUUAGGUCCGACCCAGUCCAUGCCGAAAAUUAUCCCAAAAUAAACUAGUCGCGCCCGCCUGCUCUUGUCCGUAAUCCCGCCAAACCUUUCCCAUUUAUGUACUUCCCCAAAUGUGUUUUAAACGUUGAAAUAGUC